GGACGCGGGGACGUGGGUAUCGGGGGGGGGGGGGGGUGGGGUUUGUCCUGGGGAGCCCCCCUCCCCCCAUCCUCCGGGGGGGCUGCGGGGCCGGGGGUGCCCGGGGAGGGGACACAGAGGACCGGGGGAGGGCGGUCCCGGUCCCUCCCGCCGGGCGCGGCCGCUGGGGCUCGGGGCGGGACGGGGCUCGGGACCGGGACCGGGACCGGGACGGGGACCGGGACGGGCGCUCCGGUACCGGCAUCGAGACCGGUGUCGCCCCCGCGGGACCAUGGUGAGCGCCGGGGGCUCCGCCGCCGCUUUCGCUUUCGCUUCUCGUGGGGGGGGGACACACCGGGACCGGCAGCGGGGCGGGGCAUGAGGACCCCCCCUUCCCCGGGGUUUGAAGGCACCCCCCUCCUCCCGGGGGUUGGGGACCCCUCCCGGUCCCGGUGCCCCCGGGCUCUUCCUGCUGGAGGGAGGGACACGGCCCCGGGGGGGGGGGGUGUGGCCCGCGUGGAACUUUCUGUGUCCCUGCGUGUCCCCGGCCCGGUGUCCCCGUGUCCCCACAGUGCCCUCUCCCCGUGGUCCCCCUCUGCCCCAUCCCCACGGUUCCCGUGUCCCCAAGGUCCUCGUGUGCCCCCCUCCUCAUGGUGCCAGCGUCCCACACGUCCUCCGGUGCCCCCUCCCCACGGUUCCCGUGUCCCCAAGGUCUCCUGUCCCCACCCACCCCCUCCUGCCAGUGCCUGUGUCCCCAAAGUGCCCCUUCGCUGGGGUCCCCAUGUCCCUGUGUGUCCCCUCCUCAGGGUGCCAUGGUCUCCUUGUCCCCAUGUGCCCCAUUCCUGUGGUGUCCAUGUCCCCGUGGUCCCUGUGUGCCCACUUCUCACAGUGCCCUCGUCCCCAUGGUGCCCCCUUCCCUUGUCCCUGUGGUCCCCAUAGUCCCCAGGUGCCCCUUCCCUGAGGUGUCCAUGUCCCCACAUGUCCCCCUUCUCACAGCAACCUCGUCCCCAUGAUGUCCCUUCUGUGGGGGUUCCUUGUCCCCAUAGUGCCUGUGCCCUUGGCACUAUGGUCCCUGUGUCCCCACCAUCCCCCCUAUGGCCCCAUUGUCCCCACCGUGUCCCUUCUCCACGGUGCACUUCUCCCUACAGUCCCUAUGGCCCCCUGGUCCCUGUGUCCCCCCUGUCCCCCUCUUUGUCCUCAUGGUCCCCUACAUGCCCAUUGUCCCCACUGUGCCCCUUCCCUGCGUUGUUCUUGUCCCCAUGGUCUGCUUGUCCCCCAAGUCCCCAUGUGCCCCUUCCCUGCAGUGUCCUUGUCCCCGUGGUCCCUGUGUCCCCAUUGUCCCCCCGAUGUCCCCGGAGUCCCCUCUGUCUCCGUUGUCCCCAUGGUGCCCCUUCCCUGCGGUGCCCUUGUCCCCAAGGUCCCUACGUCCCCCAAGGUUCUCCCUAUGCCCCGUCCCCACGGUGCCCGUGCCCCCUGGGGGGUGCUGGUGUCCCCCAUGUCUUCCCCCCUGCCCCUUGUCCCCCAGGCGGGGCUGGCCCAGUGCCAGCGCGAGGCAGAGGAGGUGACGGAGCUGAUGAAGCAGAACUUUGCGCGGGCGCUGGAGCGGGACGGGCGCCUCAGCGACCUCGACAGCCGGGCCCAGGAGCUGCGCGCCAUGGGCGAAGUCUUCAGCCGCAGCACCCGGAUGGUGGCUCAGCAGCAGCACAGGGGAAACCGACGCUGGCGCCUGGCAGCCAUCGGCCUCGCUGCCUUCCUCCUCCUCUUCCUCAUCCUCAUCCUCGGCCUGGCCCUAUGGCUCUCACGGCCAGCCCCUGCCGUCGUCACUGUCACCGUCACUGUCCCCCCCCCACCCCUUCCCAGAGGGACUGAGCCCCCCCCCGAGCCACGGCCGGGACUUUGGGAGACCCUACAAUAACAAAAGAGUGAGAACUAUUUUGGGGAGACCCUACAAUAACAAACCCUCAGGAUCUGCUCUGGGGACACCUUCCCAUAAAUAAGAACCAGGACUUGUUUGGAGAAGACCCUACAAUAACAAAAGCGCCAGCCCCCCUCCCCCCUGAAGAGACCCUACAAUAAUAAACCAACAGGACCCGCUACGGGAAGAUCUAAC
ensembl:lncRNA